GAGUUUGAUCAUGGCUCAGAUUGAACGCUGGCGGCAGGCCUAACACAUGCAAGUCGAACGGUAACAGGAAGAAGCUUGCUUCUUUGCUGACGAGUGGCGGACGGGUGAGUAAUGUCUGGGAAACUGCCUGAUGGAGGGGGAUAACUACUGGAAACGGUAGCUAAUACCGCAUAACGUCGCAAGACCAAAGAGGGGGACCUUCGGGCCUCUUGCCAUCGGAUGUGCCCAGAUGGGAUUAGCUAGUAGGUGGGGUAACGGCUCACCUAGGCGACGAUCCCUAGCUGGUCUGAGAGGAUGACCAGCCACACUGGAACUGAGACACGGUCCAGACUCCUACGGGAGGCAGCAGUGGGGAAUAUUGCACAAUGGGCGCAAGCCUGAUGCAGCCAUGCCGCGUGUAUGAAGAAGGCCUUCGGGUUGUAAAGUACUUUCAGCGGGGAGGAAGGGAGUAAAGUUAAUACCUUUGCUCAUUGACGUUACCCGCAGAAGAAGCACCGGCUAACUCCGUGCCAGCAGCCGCGGUAAUACGGAGGGUGCUAGCGUUAAUCGGAAUUACUGGGCGUAAAGCGCACGCAGGCGGUUUGUUAAGUCAGAUGUGAAAUCCCCGGGCUCAACCUGGGAACUGCAUCUGAUACUGGCAAGCUUGAGUCUCGUAGAGGGGGGUAGAAUUCCAGGUGUAGCGGUGAAAUGCGUAGAGAUCUGGAGGAAUACCGGUGGCGAAGGCGGCCCCCUGGACGAAGACUGACGCUCAGGUGCGAAAGCGUGGGGAGCAAGCAGGAUUAGAUACCCUGGUAGUCCACGCCGUAAACGAUGUCGACUUGGAGGUUGUGCCCUUGAGGCGUGGCUUCCGGAGCUAACGCGUUAAGUCGACCGCCUGGGGAGUACGGCCGCAAGGUUAAAACUCAAAUGAAUUGACGGGGGCCCGCACAAGCGGUGGAGCAUGUGGUUUAAUUCGAUGCAACGCGAAGAACCUUACCUGGUCUUGACAUCCACAGAACUUUCCAGAGAUGGAUUGGUGCCUUCGGGAACUGUGAGACAGGUGCUGCAUGGCUGUCGUCAGCUCGUGUUGUGAAAUGUUGGGUUAAGUCCCGCAACGAGCGCAACCCUUAUCUUUUGUUGCCAGCGGUCCGGCCGGGAACUCAAAGGAGACUGCCAGUGAUAAACUGGAGGAAGGUGGGGAUGACGUCAAGUCAUCAUGGCCCUUACGACCAGGGCUACACACGUGCUACAAUGGCGCAUACAAAGAGAAGCGACCUCGCGAGAGCAAGCGGACCUCAUAAAGUGCGUCGUAGUCCGGAUUGGAGUCUGCAACUCGACUCCAUGAAGUCGGAAUCGCUAGUAAUCGUGGAUCAGAAUGCCACGGUGAAUACGUUCCCGGGCCUUGUACACACCGCCCGUCACACCAUGGGAGUGGGUUGCAAAAGAAGUAGGUAGCUUAACCUUCGGGAGGGCGCUUACCACUUUGUGAUUCAUGACUGGGGUGAAGUCGUAACAAGGUAACCGUAGGGGAACCUGCGGUUG
rnacentral:rRNA from 1 species